AUUGAACGCUAGCGGGAUGCUUUACACAUGCAAGUCGAACGAGUGGCGGACUGGUGAGGAAUAUAUCGGCAAGGGACCAAUAGCGGGGGAUAACUCCUCGAAAUAGUGGCUAAUACCGCAUACUAUUCGAUCGGCCGAGAUGGGAUUAGCUAGUUGGUGGGUUAAAGGCAUACCAAGGCGACGAUCCGUAUCUGGUUUGAGCGGACGGCCAGCCACACUGGGACUGAGACACGGUCCAGAGUCCUACGGGAGUCAGCAGUGGGGAAUUUUGGACAAUGGGGGAAACCCUGAUCCAGCCAUGCCGCGUGUAUGAGAAGGCCUUCGGGUUGUAAAGUACGUUCGGCAGAGAAGCGGUAGCCGCAGAAGAAGCACCGGCGAACUACGUGCCAGCAGCCGCGGUAAUAC
rnacentral:rRNA from 1 species